CUCCAAUAGCGUAUAUUAAAGUUGUUGCAGUUAGAACGCUCGUAGUCGGAUUUCGGGGCGGGUCUAGCGGUCUGCCGAUGGGUACGCACUGUUGGACGCGUCCUUCCUUCCGGAGACCGUCUCACUCUUAACUGAGCGGAGGCGGGAGACGGAACGUUUACUUUGAAAAAAUCAGAGUGUUUCAAGCAGGCAGCUCGCUC
rnacentral:rRNA from 1 species